rnacentral:rRNA from 1 species
AUGGCCGGCGCGUCCGCCACCAGCACCCGCAAGGGCGGCAUCAAGGCCUACUGGAAGCACCGCGGGUACGACCGCCUGGACGCGGCCGCCGCGCAGCGCCGCCCGGCCCUCGCCACGGCCGAGCUCGGCGCCGGAGGCAAGGCACCGGCGACCGCGGGCCGUCGGCGCGGGUGGCGCGUGCGGCGCCGCGGCCUCGGGCGGCGCCUCCUGCGCGCGCUCUCGCCGCGGCGGCUGCUGACGCGGCUCCGGGAUGCGUACGUCAACGCGAUGCUCCGGCUCGCGUCCUCCGCCGCCGUGGGCUACGGCUCCGCCCCGUUCUGUGCCGCCAGCGAGCCCUUCGCGCGGCCGCGGCCGCUCAAGGAGUACGACGAGAAGGUGCUGGUGGAGAUGUACCGGUCCAUCCUGGCCCGCGGCGGCGUCAUCCCUCUCUCCGGCGACGCCUCGCUGGUGGUGGGCCCCGCCCCGAUGGCGAUGCCGGCCGCGGCCACGGUGGCCUGA